GAUGAACGCUGGCGGCGUGCCUAAUACAUGCAAGUCGAGCGAACGGACGAGAAGCUUGCUUCUCUGAUGUUAGCGGCGGACGGGUGAGUAACACGUGGAUAACCUACCUAUAAGACUGGGAUAACUUCGGGAAACCGGAGCUAAUACCGGAUAAUAUUUUGAACCGCAUGGUUCAAAAGUGAAAGACGGUCUUGCUGUCACUUAUAGAUGGAUCCGCGCUGCAUUAGCUAGUUGGUAAGGUAACGGCUUACCAAGGCAACGAUGCAUAGCCGACCUGAGAGGGUGAUCGGCCACACUGGAACUGAGACACGGUCCAGACUCCUACGGGAGGCAGCAGUAGGGAAUCUUCCGCAAUGGGCGAAAGCCUGACGGAGCAACGCCGCGUGAGUGAUGAAGGUCUUCGGAUCGUAAAACUCUGUUAUUAGGGAAGAACAUAUGUGUAAGUAACUGUGCACAUCUUGACGGUACCUAAUCAGAAAGCCACGGCUAACUACGUGCCAGCAGCCGCGGUAAUACGUAGGUGGCAAGCGUUAUCCGGAAUUAUUGGGCGUAAAGCGCGCGUAGGCGGUUUUUUAAGUCUGAUGUGAAAGCCCACGGCUCAACCGUGGAGGGUCAUUGGAAACUGGAAAACUUGAGUGCAGAAGAGGAAAGUGGAAUUCCAUGUGUAGCGGUGAAAUGCGCAGAGAUAUGGAGGAACACCAGUGGCGAAGGCGACUUUCUGGUCUGUAACUGACGCUGAUGUGCGAAAGCGUGGGGAUCAAACAGGAUUAGAUACCCUGGUAGUCCACGCCGUAAACGAUGAGUGCUAAGUGUUAGGGGGUUUCCGCCCCUUAGUGCUGCAGCUAACGCAUUAAGCACUCCGCCUGGGGAGUACGACCGCAAGGUUGAAACUCAAAGGAAUUGACGGGGACCCGCACAAGCGGUGGAGCAUGUGGUUUAAUUCGAAGCAACGCGAAGAACCUUACCAAAUCUUGACAUCCUUUGACAACUCUAGAGAUAGAGCCUUCUCCUUCGGGGGACAAAGUGACAGGUGGUGCAUGGUUGUCGUCAGCUCGUGUCGUGAGAUGUUGGGUUAAGUCCCGCAACGAGCGCAACCCUUAAGCUUAGUUGCCAUCAUUAAGUUGGGCACUCUAAGUUGACUGCCGGUGACAAACCGAAGGAAGGUGGGGAUGACGUCAAAUCAUCAUGCCCCUUAUGAUUUGGGCUACACACGUGCUACAAUGGACAAUACAAAGGGCAGCGAAACCGCGAGGUCAAGCAAAUCCCAUAAAGUUGUUCUCAGUUCGGAUUGUAGUCUGCAACUCGACUACAUGAAGCUGGAAUCGCUAGUAAUCGUAGAUCAGCAUGCUACGGUGAAUACGUUCCCGGGUCU
rnacentral:rRNA from 1 species